UACGGAGGGUGCAAGCGUUAUCCGGAUUCACUGGGGUUAAAGGGUGCGUAGGUGGGCAGGUAAGUCAGUGGGGAAAUCUCCGGGCUUAACCCGGAAACUGCCAUUGAUACUAUUUGUCUUGAAUACCGUGGAGGUCAGCGGAAUAUGUCAUGUAGCGGUGAAAUGCUUAGAUAUGACAUAGAACACCAAUUGCGAAGGCAGCUGGCUACACGAAUAUUGACACUGAUGCACGAAAGCGUGGGGAUCAAACAGG
rnacentral:rRNA from 1 species